rnacentral:snoRNA from 1 species
AUCUGGCUUAGUUAGGAGGCAAACAUAAAUUAUGAUCAUUCAGUACUUUUCUGUAUUGUUUUUGGUCGUUUGAGGCUUUUUUUUUCUGUUUCUUUUGAGGAGGAGCAAUUGAAUUAUCUUCAAUUGCAAGCUUCUUCUUACCAAAAAGCUUCAGACAUUA